UACGGGGGGGGCAAGCGUUGUUCGGAAUUACUGGGCGUAAAGGGCUCGUAGGUUGCCAACUAAGUCAGCCGUGAAAUCCCUCGGCUUAACCGGGGAACUGCGUCUGAUACUGGAUGGCUUGAGUUCGGGAGAGGGAUGCGGAAUUCCAGGUGUAGCGGUGAAAUGCGUAGAUAUCUGGAGGAACACCGGUGGCGAAGGCGGCAUCCUGGACCGACACUGACACUGAGGAGCGAAAGCCAGGGGAGCAAACGGG
rnacentral:rRNA from 1 species